UUCACACUUCUGCCAUCUCUUAACGCAGCUCCUUCAACUAUAGCGAGGAUGUAGAUGUCGAUAGCACAAUUGGUAACAUACGGAACUAUUAUUCCAUACUGUCGACUUCGAGCUGUCAAAUUGGGACCAAGUGAUUGACGCGUGAUUCGGAGACCACCAUUGUCCCUAUCCUGAGUCUGAUGAAUCCAGUCCACACCCUACCAUCUUAUUCCAUUAAGAACCUUGUUGAAGAGGUCAUGCUACCAUCCAUCACUGGCAUUAUGAAUUAGUUGAUAUAUAACCAUUCUAUUCCAUAGUAGAAUUUAAGAGUUUCACAGCAGAGUCCGAAGAUGGCUGUUUUCAGUGAGAAACCGGAAGUGUUUCUGAUUUUCACCUGUUCUGGUAUCUUGGGAGGAAGUAACUUGCUGUUUGGCCAAUGAGUGGAUUGGAGAAGAGUUGAACUGCUGGGCCCAUGCUUCAGAAGCAAAAAUCAGUGCAACAAACUGCAACAAGGUUAAGAGACGAGUUUUAUGGCAAUUAAAUCAGAAAGUGCAAACAUACAUAACACGAUUACCAGAGUACGACUACCAGACUACAUGGUGGCACAUCCCAGAAGACAGUCAUAUUCAUGCUCAGCCAUAGAGAACCCGAAAUCUCGCCAAGAUACAUUAAUUCGAUAAAUAAAUGUUGUGUUUUUAAAAAUUCAUUACUAAUGCUCAGAACUGUUAGCGUCGUAUCAUGUACAUGUCAAAAUAUAUUCGAAAAAAUUUAAAGAAUUUUUUUUAGCGUUCAGACUUUCCCAAGUCUUUAAGUUCUUCUGAAGAAUGGGAGCACAGAAUAAAAAGCCCAAACGAAUUCCUGUGCCAUUUUAAAACAAAACUUCAGUGAAUCUAUGAGAAAAUUAUAGAGCCUGUUAACUUCUUCUGUAUAAUUAGACAAACAAAAUCAAUCGCCAACUGAGUUGACAGUGAAUUCGUCGGCGAGUAGCGAGUUAAGUCGUCUGAUGUAAUUGACACCUAAGA